rnacentral:lncRNA from 1 species
GCCAUUCAGAAGACUGCAAAGGUUGGUCUUGCUUGUGCCUUGAAGCCUUAGAAUUGGUGAUUUUGUGAUUGAUAGGUUGCUUUGUCUGGUGGUGGAGACAAUAAGUUUAGUGGUAGGGUUUCACUUUCCCAUGAACCUUUUGGUGUCCUUCAUUUUGGAGCUAUUAAAUUUCUUCAUAUUUUGGUUGGUUCAGGGUGCAAAAUCAAUAAGAGCAGAGGACAAUUUUUAAAAUUGUAGUUAUUCAACAAUUCCACCUGAACCUUCAUUGGUUUAGAUGCACCUUUGAGUAAGUUUUUGAGCAUGGAAGGUGAUAAUCAUGCGAUAUGAAUGUUGUCGAGUGUAUAUCGAAGCUCUGGUUUAUGCUUUGUAUGACGUAUUUCCUUACAUUUUCUUUUUCUGGUUUUUUUUUUCCUUUAAAAAAUUAACAUAGUAGUGCAUAUUAAAUCUAUAAGAGAACCCAAAAAAAUCUACCAGGGUUGAGUUUAGAAGUUGAUAAUUACAGCACGGUAAUGUACAGAAAUGAACCUAAUGUACAAUUAAUAUCUUCUUACAUAAAAUGCAUUAGGACGUGAUAAUGAAAGAUGUGGAUGUGGAAGAAAACAUACUCAUACGUGCAAUUUACGUAGGCUGUGUUUGGUAACACAAAAAAGCUAGCUUAUAACUUGUUGGAUUAGCUUAUAAGCUCGUUAGAUGAAAACAUGACGGUUCUAUUUGGUAAAAAGAAGCUAUAAGCUAGCUGGUAGUUUGUAGCUGAUAGCUUAUAGCUGAAAAGCUUGUUUAUUAAAAAUAAUGUGUUUGGUAAAAUUAGCUGUUGAAGUAGCUGAUAAAUAUAAAAUGACAUAAAAGGACAUGUGUUUUUUUAAUAUACAUAUAGACACGCAUUUUUUUUGUAGUGUAUUUAUUUUUUAAUAUUUUUAAUUAUAGUUAAAUAUGUUUUUGGUUCCUAUAAAUAUUCAAACUUUUGGUCUUAGUCUCCAUAAAAAAAUUCUUCGACCUUUAAUCCUAAAAAAAAAUUCACUAACAAUUUUGAUCUCUGUUUAAUGAGUCCCAAAAAUAAGAGAAAUGUGGAAACAAAAUGUGAGGUAGAAUAUAUAAAAUUUUACAACGUACAAUAGACUAGUUAUUUUUUCUUUUAAAAAAAAAAUAGGCUAGUUAUUUUUUGUGUGGUGUAUGACAGUUUAGUUAUAACAAAAUAUAAAGCAUUUCCAUAAAAAAUAUUAUAUAUAUAUAUAUAAAGUGGUCCCUUAAAAAAACGGCAUUUUAUUUAAGGGAAAAAAUGGGGCGGUUAUAAAGAUGAAUAUGGGUACUUGUUUAAUUAAAAAAAUAAUUAAUUAAAUUAAUAAGGUUAAAGUUGGAAGAAAAUAUAAAAAGCUAUCAGCUAUAAGCUAAAAAGCUACUUGAAAUAGCUUUUCAAAAAACGCUAUAAGCUCAUGAAAAAAGCUUGUUACCAAACACGUCACGUUUUCUUCUAACGAGCUUAUAAGCUAAGCUAACAAGCUAUAAGCUAGCUUUUUUGUGUUACCAAACACAGCCGACGUGUUUGGUAAUAAGCUUUUUUCAUGAGCUUAUAGCGUUUUUUGAAAAGCUAUUUCAAGUAGCUUUUUAGCUUAUAGCUGGUAGCUUUUUAUAUUUUCUUCCAACUUUAACCCUAUUAAUUUAAAUUAAUUAUUUUUUUAAUUAAACAACUACUCAUGUUCAUCUUUAUAACCGCUCCAUUUUUUCCCUUAAAAAAAAUACCACACAAAAAAUAACUAGCCUAUUUUUUUUUCAAAGGAAAAAAUAACUAGUCUUUUGUACGUUGUAAAAUUUUAUAUAUUCUAGCUCACUUUUUGUUUCCACCUUUCUCUUAAUUUUGGAAUACAUAAAGCAGAGAUCAAAAUUGUCGGUGAUUUUUUUUUUAGGAUUAAAGGUUGAAGAAUUUUUUUAUGGAGACUAAGACCAAAAGUUUGAAUAUUUAUAGGGACCAAAAAUAUAUUUAACUAUAAUUAAAAAAUAAAUACAUUAUAAAAAAAAUGUGUGUGUCUAUAUGUAUAUUAAAAAAAAAAAAAAAAUUCUUUUAUGUUAUUUUAUACUUAUCAGCCACUUCAACAACUAAUUUUACCAAACACGUUAUUUUUAAUAAGCAAGCUUUUCAGCUAUAAGCUAUCAGUCAUCAGCUAGCUUUUCAGCUAUCAGCUAUUAACUAGCUUAUAGCUUAUUUUUACCAACGACCCCUUUUUAUAAGAAAAUGUAGAAUUACUAUUUUAGUGGUAUGUUUUAGUGUUUUACCUUUCCCAUACUCAAAGAAACAAAAGAAUGUUUUUUUUAAGCUAAUUAGCCCACCAGAAUUGAACAAAAAUGAAAAUGAAUGAAAAGUGAUGAAAAAAUUAGCAGCAGCAUAUAUAUAAUAAAUGUUCAUUUACAUUUUCAUUAACCAUAACCUUACCUACAUUUUCCUCUAGAGUCUGGACCCUAUAAUAUUGACUAUACAAGCAACUUUUAUGAGUAACAUAACCACCAAAAUUUAUUUCUCAUUCCAUAAUCUCAAAUAUAACCUACACACGCAUUUUUCUCCCUAUCGAUUUACACUGAUAAACUCGUUUUCAUUGCCUGUUUUUAGAGGAAAAGUUUAGGUGUUAUGUGGAGACCUGUCGUUCAUUCAAUUCCUGAAAAUAGAUAAGGGACGCCUUUUAUUGUUCUAGUAACAUAAAUCCUUGUAAAUAUUGAAUUGAUGUUGACUGAGUAAUUAAUAAAAUUUAAUUAGAUAUAGACAUGUUCGGUGUAGGCACAUCAGAACCAUUCAAAUUUUUUGAUAACUUUUAAAUUUUGUUUAAUAUAAAUAAGUUUUUUGAUCUGGAUGACCACAAAUUUGGUAAUUGUGUGCGGUCACAGACUUGUAACUGCACUCAAACAUGAUCCGUAAUUAAUUGAUACAUUCCAAUAGAAGUUACACAAUUAUGAAAAAAACAAGGAGAAAUUCUUGGAACGAACCUAACCUAUCAUUCUUGCAAACAACAAAAUAAAAUAUGACACAUUGUUGUUUUCUUUUAAAAUAAUUAUAAAAAAAUAAAGGGUUAAAUAUAUUUUUGGUUCUUAUAAAAUAGAGACCUUUCAAGUUUAAUCCUUACUUAAUUUUAAUAGAUUUUUUAGUCCCUACAAAAAAGAAUUACUUCUAAUUUUAGUCCCUAUUACAACAAAGUUUGUUUAAUUAUCCUUAAACUCUUAAACUUUUGAACAAUUUUUUUGAGACAAGUUUAAAACACUAUGAAAGGUUCACUUACUAAAAUUUAGAAUUUUUUAACAUGAAACGAAUUAAAUAUGAAUUUUUCAAAACGGCAAAAGUUAAAAAUAAAAUUAACAAAAUCUGGACGUAGAAAUCAAAUUUUGUGACAAUUUUUUGCAUAGGAACUUUUAGUAAUGUUCUUAACACGUCUGUAAAAAAUUGUUCAAAAACUCGAGAGUUUAAACAUAAAUUAAACAAAUUUGAAUUGAGGAGGGACUAAUACUGAGUGCAGAUUUUUUUUUAAGGACUAAAAGAACCAUUAAAAUUAAGUAAAGACUAAACUUGAAAGACCCCAUUUUAUAGGGAUCAAAAACAUAUUUAACCCAAAAAUAAAUCAACUAGUCCUUUCUCUCUCUCUCCACCACCACAGAUUAAAACAUAACAUGUCGUUGUUUUUCCACCAUGAGUGAAAUUUGCUUAUAAUUAGUAAUGGAGGGAGUAUGUUACAAUUCAAAUGGACUCUAAGUAAACUCAUUCAAAUACUCACUUCUAUCCUUAAUUCUAACAAUAGGACAAAUACUUUAUUGUCUAUGCAAAUAAAAAAGAACAAGCCAUAAGUGAAGCACUUCUGCACACUGUUAUUUCUAUCUCCGAAGAGAAAAAAAUGUGCUACAUUUGUCUAUUCACAACUCCAGAAGGAAAAAACACGAAGGCAUAAAGACAUUAGGUAUGGAAGGGCAUAUAAACAUCCCAAACUAGUUAUAAUAAGUGAUAGACAAAAUCGAUAAAUACUCUACUAUCUUUAGAAUAUAAAUUCCUAAAGUUUUUAUUAUGUGAUAUCUAUGAAGUAUAUACCAACACAGACGGGGACACAAAACACGACACUGACAUGUCUCAAACUUCAAGGCCGAGCGACAUUCCCAUGGAGAAGACCAUCUCUGACUUGUGAAGAAAUAUCUUUUACAACACCUGGUCCGUGUGGAACAAAAACAGAAUUGGACUUUGAGGAUGCGCCAAUCUCCUUCAAUGUGUCAAAGUAUUGGGUCACAAGAACCAUGUCCAUGACAUCCUUUGAUGAUGUCCCGGGGACAUUCUCUGCAAAUGCUAGAACACUGUCCCUAAGCCCGUCAACUAUGGCUUGACGCUGACGAGCUAUUCCAAGCCCUGCUAGAUACUUUGAUUCUGCAUCUCCCUCUGCCCUUUUUAUGUGCAGAAUCUUCUCUGCUUCAGCUUUCUCACUUGCAGCCAUCCUAAAUCUUGCAGCUAUUGCCAAUGAUUGAAACACAGAGUAAAAUAACAGAAAAGAAAAUGUCAAGCCUUUAACGUGUUUUGCUAAAAACAAGACUUUAGCAGUGAAGUUGUGCAUUUGAGAGGAUAUCCAUUCCAUACUGAUACAAUAGUUUCUUUAAUCUAAUUUUUUUGAACUUAAAAAGGUUAAUGACCGUAAAUUUAUACGAUAUAUGUUCCAUACAUAUUUUUUUUCUUUCUAAUUUUAAAAAAGAGUAAUUUGUGCCCAGCUAAAAAUAUAUGCUAUUAUGGAAAGCAUACCAGCAUUUAUCUCAUUCAUGGCUUUCUUCACAUGCUCAUCUGGUUCAAUAUCCACAAUGAGAGUCUGAACUAUCUCAUAUCCAUAAGCUGACAUGGCCUUCAUAUAAACAAGAAGUGAAAAACCAAAAUUCAUGAAUGCUAUUGCUAACAGCUUAGUACUUGAAACAGACAAAGAGAAAAGGAAUUACCUUUUCAAGUUCUUCCUCAACAGCUUUUGCAAUUUCAUUCUUCUGUUCAAAAGAAGAAUCUAGUCCCAUUUUUGGAACAGUUGCCCGGAUAACUGAAAUAAGAAAUAGGAAUUAAUCAGUUUCAUCAAGGAGAAGUAACAAAAAAAGAUUGUAUUAGGAGAUUAGACUACAAAUCAACACCAUCAAAGACAUAGGCUUGGAUCUGUUCUCUCGUAUUGGUAAGUCUGUAAAAAGCAUCCACCGCCUUUUCUGCCAGUGCUCGAUAUUGAACAGAUGCAACCACAGUCACAAAAACAUUGUCCUGAUUGGAUGUAAUAUUAAUUUGUAAGAACAUACAUGCAACAUUAAUUUGUAAAAAUGAGGUAAGAACAUACACGCAACAUUAAUUUGUAAAAAUGAACAGAUACUAAUCAUCAUCAUAUUUGUUUUACUUAUGAAUUUUAGUUUUUCAGAACAAACCUUUGUCUUGGUUUCACAGCGAACAUCUAGUUGUUGCACACGCAAAGAAAGGUAACCAGCUAUUUGUCUGCCCAUGAACCAGGGCACACAGUGGCAACCAGGUUCAAGUACAUCCUCAUAUUUCCCAAAAACUUCUCGGAUUGCUACUGUUGAUUGUUCCACUUGAAGACAACCUAGAGCUAGUCCCAUAUUUAGAAGCCCUGAAAAUAAAUAGUCAGAAAAUCUAAUAAGUUUCCUAAGAAGUCCUUUUAAGUUUUGAUUUUGAAUACUCGCUACAUGUUAUAGGCUAUAGCGAUGCUGAUAGGAUCAAAGAAUAAAAUACUGGAUAACAACUUGCUUUGUGCCACCGACACUUCUAAUAGAAGGUGUAACACUGUGUCUUACACGUGCCUGGACACACACUGACACGACAUCGACACAUGUGAUUACAUUUACAUUGAAUUGUCAUUUUGUCAAAAUUUUAUCGGUGUCAAUGUCUGGUGUCCGUGUAUGUGUCUGUGCUUCAUAGAUAACUGGUAAUCUGUGUUGACGAACAAACAAGCCAGAUUACAAGAAAAAGAAAAUAAAAUGGGAUAGAACAAUGUCUAACAGCCCUGUACAAAUAGCUCCCUUCACCGGAGAAGCAUUAUCUGCGACCUCACUAUCUCACUAAAACAGAAAUCCCAGAUAGUUUUUCUCGUCCCCCAUUUAUUCCUUAUAUAACUAACUCAUCAUUACUUAUCAGUCACUCAUUUCCAUCCUUCCUCGGCCAGCUCAGCGCCCCCAACCUCCUUAUCAGUGGCAUGGCAUGUUUCAUGUAGUAGACCCCUCCACGUCUUAGGCCCAAUUCUCUCAUUAGGACUCAGCUGACCCAAUCCUUCCAAGUUCCUCUUAAAAUGCCUAUGACAGAUCGCAGAUGAGAGUGAAACUUUUUGUAGGGUUCUCUAGGGUAUUAUUUCCUCAAACCUUCUAAAUGUUAUUCUGCAUUGUAUAUCUUUUUCUUCUCUUAACAUAAAUGAAACCCUCUCUCCCCAACCUCUUUGUUCUUUGUCUUAUAAGAUUAGGAUACAAGAUCAAAGAUGGUGUCUCCUCAAGAAGUUGGAUUCUCUUGGUUUUUAUCAAAUGCCACCCCUUAAAAUGAUUUCCAUUACGUUCCUAAUUGUAUUUUAGACAUACAUUAUCAUACUUUCACAAUAUAUAUUACCCUAACUUUCUCAACAAUUAAAAACCAUAUUGCAUUGAAACUUGUCAAAAUGCUAUGAUAAUCAUCAUGAAAAAUCCAAACAAAUAUUUAAAAAAGAGAAAGAAUAAAAGAACAGCGUAGAAAAGACAGAGAAUGGAAGUUUCACCUCAAUGCUAGAGAAAAGAGAAGAAUGAAAUGGGUGCCUCAAUUUCCACGCUUUACCUGUGAUUUGCAUCUUCCUUUUUUCUUUUCUUUUUUAUUACAUAUUUUGUUGCUACGUGCAUUUCUUUCCAUUUUGGACAUGCCAAUCCGUCCAUUACUAUACUUUUAGUGUAUAAAUGUCUAAUUAGUAUUACAUAUUCUAGACAUAUGUGCAUUUAUAUAGUGUAUUUACUACAAAACUAUAGUAAUGGAUGUUACCAUUUAUUUUAGAAAAUGGAGAUAAUCUCAACUCAUACUUUUCAUCCUCACUAAAUUUCAAGAUACAAUUUUUUUUAUUUCAAAUUCAAAUCGAUCCAAAUUUGUUAGGUUGAAUACCAAGAUUGGGGUUCAAAUCGUAUAUGUGAGUUUUCAAUGAUUAUUGUCAUUUCGUAUAUUUGUCUCCAAAAAAAUACAAACCAAAUUAUUUUUUUAUUUUUUUUGAAGGAAGCAAACCAAAUCUUGAAACCCGGAGGAUAGAACAAAAUCAAAUAAUAUUAGAUAUGUUCGUUUCUUGGAAUUCACUAAUUAGAUUGGAUUUUAGAUCAUUUUUCUAAAACUAAACCAAACGAAUUACACUGCAUAAAUAAAUUUGUAAUACUUAUUAAAUUAUUUCCUUAAAAAUACACAUUUUUUUUGACACAAUAUACAUUUUUAUUUUUAUUAGUAUACUCUCUCCAUUCCUUUUCUUUUGAUGUUUUAGAACUUCAACUAUAUUCCAAAAUUUUUGAUGUUUUAGUGAAUUUAUGAUUGUUUUUUCAAGUUUACCCUUGAUGGAAAACACAAUAAACUAUUAAAGUAGUUGUGACUUUUGGUUUAUCACAUGUGAAUUUAAUGAUAAAUAAGGAAAUUUAAAUAAAAAACACACAAGUGUUUAUAUACUUUAAUUACUCCUUAAAACUUGUGUCAAAAGCUAAAACAUCAAAAGAAAAGGAAUGGAGGGAGUAAUAUAUUGCAUUAAUAUAUUGUUGGUUUUUAAAUUUUUGACAAAUGUUUUUAAUUUUUUUAAAACAAUAUUAAGAUAAAACUACGCUCGUCUCGUCGUCCUAUGCAUUAAGUUAAGGUAACAAUUUUGUGCUUUAUCUUUUUUCACGUCAUUUUUUUGCUUUUGAUCAAUUUGCAUGUGGAUUUUCAAGCAGCAAGUCUGAAAUUCAUAUGAAAACAUGAGUGAAGAACCAAAUAUUUGAACCUUAAGAGCUCCUAUCGAAAUGAAAUCAUAUAUUUAAAUCUUGAAAAUCCAUAUGCAAAUUGAUCAAAAUGUUGCGAAAAAAGAUAAGUGGCAAAACCGUUGUCUGAAAUCAGGGACGAAAUGAGAAAUUUAGUUUAGGGGGACCGAAUUUAAGAAUAUAACUUAGUAAACCAAAUUUUAUAUAUUCAUAAGAUACUCAUCUAAAAUUAUUAAGGUGCUAACUUACAUCCACCUAAAAACACUAAGGUACAAGUUAGCAAGCUACACCCAUCUAAAAUUAUUAAGGUGCAAGUUAGCAACCUACACCUAGGGAUGAGAAUAGGCUAGGCCGGCCUACAGGGGCCUAGGACCUAGCCUACGACAAGCCAGGCCAGGCCAUGCUUUUUUCUUAAAUAGAGAAGGCUUAGGCUUUUUUAGAAGCUUAUUUAGCUUAAAAGGCCAGGUCACUAGCCAUUCAAAAAGCCUCUUAGGCCUAUUAGACCGGCCUAUUUAAGUAAAUAUGAAUAUUAUUAUUUAUUAUUAUAUUAUAUUUUGUACGUUGAAUUAGGAUAAAAAUUUGUUGACUUUUUCAGUAAUUUAAGUUUAUUAGUAUACAUUAAUUUUUUGCAUAUUUAAAUGUAUUAUUAUAAACUAGAAUAGAAAUAUGAUACAAUACAUAGUUAAAUUCUCUAAAAAUUCAUGUUGAUUAUCGAAAGAGAGUUUGAUUGAUAUAUUAGUUCGCUAGCCUAUUUAAACUUAGAUUACAUUGCUUAUUUAAAGAUGUUCAUUUGAAAUAGGCUUUUAAACAGACUAACAGGUCGUAUCAGGCUUUCAGAAGGCCAGCUCAGGCCCAAAAAGUAAGUCUAUGACAGACCUUUGAUCAGGCUUAGGCCUUCAAAAAAUUUGGCAUACCAGGCUCAGGCCUUGUAAAGCUUAGCUUGGCCUAACCUAUUCCCACUCCUAUACACCCACUUGAUUAUUUACACUCAUUUUUAUAAGUAUUACUAAGGUGCAAAUUAACAAUCUUCACUGAGGCGGCGCAUGCUAUUCGUGAGACUGUUUUCAACCAUUUUUCCAAUCACUUUAAGUCAAGGGGAGUAAGGCGGCCAACUGUAGAUGGUCUAAAUUUUCGCCGACUUUCAUUGGUUGAAGCGGGUACUUUAACUAAGCCGUUCUCUUUAGAGGAAGUGAAACAAGCUGUUUGGGAUUGUGACAGUUACAAGAGUCCAGGUCCUGAUGGUGUUAGUUUUGGUUUUAUUAAGGAAUUUUGGAAUUUACUGAAGGAUGAUUUGUUUCGGUUCAUGGUGGAGUUUCAUCGAAAUGGAAAGUUGACAAAGGGUUUAAAUUCUACUUUUAUUGCUCUCGUCCCAAAGGUGGAUAGUCCUCAAAGAUUGAAUGAUUUCCGACCUAUUUCAUUGAUUGGUAGUUUAUCCAAGAUCCUUGCUAAGUUUCUUGCAAAUAGAAUUCGACAUGUUAUAGGUACGGUGGUGUCUGAAUCCCAGGCGGCUUUUGUUAAAGGGAAACAAAUUUUGGAUGGAAUUUUAAUUGCUAACGAAGCUGUCGAUGAAGCGACCCGGUUGAAAAAAGAUAUACUUUUGUUUAAGGUAGAUUUUGAAAAAGCAUAUGAUUCCGUUGAUUUCUUUUAACUGGACUCUGUUAUGGCAAAUAUGAAUUUUCCGACAAUUUGGAGGAAAUGGAUGUUCGAAUGUGUUGGAAUGGCAAAGGCGUAUGUUUUAGUUAAUGGUAGUCCUACAUCCGAGUUCCCUUUACAGUGGGGUCUUCGUCAGGGUGACCCCUUGUCGCCAUUUUUAUUUUUGAUUGCUGCUGAGGGCCUUAAUGAGUUAAUGAAAGCUGCUGAGGGGGCGCACCAGUUUACAGGUUAUGGUAUUGACGCUGAAGCUGAGGUUUGCGGAUGACACCUUAAUUAUGGGUGAAAAAAGUUGGUUGAAUGUUCGUACAAUGAAGUCGGUGUUGCUUUUAUCUGAGGAACUGUCGGGUCUCAAAGUAAAUUUUCACAAGAGUAUGUUGACUGGUGUAAAUAUUCUGGGUUCUUGGUUGUCAGAGGCCGCUAUGAUGUUGAAUUGUCGAAGAGGCACCAUUCCUUUUGUUUAUUUGGGGCUGCCUAUAUGAGGGGAUUCUGGGAAACUUUCUUUUUGGAAACCUGUUGUUGACCGUAUUGUUUCUCUCUUGUCGUCGUGGAACCACAAGUUUCUAUCUUUUGGUGGUCGUUUGGUCCUUUUGAAAUCAUUCAUGUCCUCUCUUCCGGUUUACUUUCUUUCCUUUUUCAAAGCCCCUGCAGGUAUAAUUUCUUCUAUCGAAUCUGUUUUUUUUAAAAAAAUUUGGGGGGGAUGUGAGGAUUAUAGGAAAAUUGCUUGGAUAAAAUGGGAGUCCAUUUGCACUCCAAAGGAGGAAGGAGGGUUGGGGGUUAGGUGGGUGGGUGCCUUUAAUUUAUCUUUAAUGGGUAAAUGGUGGCGGAGGAUGUUGGUGGAAAAGGAGGAAUUGUGGUACCGUGUACUUAAAGCUCGGUACGGUGAGGAGGGGGGUCGUUUGAAAGAGGGAGAUAGUCAUUGCUCGGUUUGGUGGCGGUCUAUGAAUAGGAUUCAUGAUGGGGUGGGUGAGGGAGUUGGUCACUGGUUUGAUAAUAAUGUUCGUAGGGUUGUUGGAAAUGGUAGGGGUACCUCUUUUUGGCAUGACAUUUGGGUUGGGGAAAUCCCUUUGAAGUUUAAAUUUCUCUGCCUUUUUGAGUUGUCUGUUGAUAAGGAGUGUUCGGUGGAGGUGAUGAGGACAGGAUUAAGGGCGGUUGUUGGGAGGGAGAGGUUAUGGCGUCGUCGUUUAUUGGCGUGGGAGGAGGAGAGUGUGAGGGAGUGUCUUGUGUUAUUUCAUAACAUUGUUUUACAGGAAAACGUCGAAGAUACUUUGAGGUGGCUGCUAGACCCUAUUCAUGGCUAUUCGGUAAGGGGGGCAUACCGCUUCCUUACUACCUCGGUUGACAGGUUAGAUAGGUCUCAAAUUGUCGACGUUUGGCAUCAGCAUAUCCCUUCUACGAUGUCGGUGUUCGCUUGGCGCUUGUUCCGUAACAGACUUCCAACUAAAGACAAUUUGGUGCGGCGGAGGGUUCUUUCUCAGGCCGACGCGACCUGUGUGUUUGGUUGCGGGUGUCAGGAAACAUAACACAUUUAUUUUUGGAAUGUGAUAUUUUAGGUUCCCUUUGGUCUCUGGUUUGGCUUUGGCUAGGUAUAUCUUUUGUCUCACCUGUUGAUCUUUAUCAACACUUCACCCAAUUUAUUAAUAUGCCUGGAUUGCCUAGAUUUACGCACAUGUUCUUCAGGGUUAUUUGGUUCACUUCGGUAUGGGUUCUAUGGAAGGAAAUGAAGGACCAUGUGUUUAAAAAUACGACAUUGGCACCGUCCAUAGUCAUAGAAAAGGUCAAAUUGACAUCUUUUUCUUGGUUAAAGUCAAAACAGGCAACUAUUACGUACAACUAUCAUGACUGGUGGAAGCAACCGCUCCUUUGUAUGGGCGUCCACUAGUAAUUGUUUUUGUAACACCCCGUUCCCAAUAAUCAAUUAAUCAAUAAAUAACGUGCAUCAGAGUAUUAACCCAAACGGGCAUGUCACACUACUAAUUCAAAAUUUCUUAAAUAGAAUAUAAAACUAUAUAAUUAAUCAUCCUCCAAAUCAUCAUUAAUUAUGCAACGGAAAUAUUUUCUUAACAUCAAAUAAUCAUCACAUCCAACAUGUUAAUCCUCCAAUAAAAUUUUGGCGUUAAAGCCUCAACGACAUAAUUCAACAAUCAAUAGGGCUACAACAUUAAGUUCCAAAAUUUGAUAGCAUAUAUAGGAAUAAAAGAAGCAUUAAAAUCCCAUCCCAUGUAUCAGAGCCCUAGACACAUUGAGCCACCACCUACUACUCAGGAUCACCUGCAAGUUACCCAUAGGAAGGACAACAUUUUCAAGCAGAAGGGGUGAGAUUCACAAACAAUAAUAAUAAUAAUAUAUAAUAACAUCAAAUGAAUCUAACACCCUAUAAUAUCAAUGAUUAUUCAAUAUGCAUAAGUAUUUUCAUAAUCAACAACAUCAUCCAGAUAUAGCAAUUCAAUCAACAUCAUCAAUUCAUGUAAUGACAUGACAACACCCCUAAGACUCCUCGACAAAUGCAGCCAUGCAUGUGGUACCAUAUUCAGGGCCGGAGCCCUCACCGCUACAUAAGUCCUCACCGCUAAACACCGCUUUGAACAACUAGUGUUCCACCGCUUUGAACGACAAGACAUUCCAGAGCCGAAGCUCUCCCACUUUUAUGCUUAUGCAACUAACCCACUUGUGUAUAUCUACAUACAACUCAACUAAUGCAUAUAUAUAUAUAUAUAUAUAUAUAUAUAUAUAUAUAUAUAUAUAUAUGACAUACAACUUCAUCACAACCAAUCCAACAUCAGAAAAAUGUAUAAUUAAUGUCAAUCAUACUAAUACAUCAAGUCAUUCAACGUAACAUAUUUUCACUUGGUUUCAUACCCACUUCAAUCCACAAAUACAUUAAACUAUACCAACUCGAUUAACAAUGUGUUUAGUAGGAUUCAGGGUAUAUAUAAUGGUCUUACAAGUUGAAAGGAACACUUAGAAAUACUCAAAAGGAUCCCCUAGUGCACGAGGCAAAGUUCAAAAGUGGCUGACUAUGGUCAUCUUCGCUUAAGCGACGGCCAGUUCGCUUAAGCGACCGACUCACAGAAAGUCUGGGUUCCGCUCGCUGACGGUUCGCUUGAGCGAACUUCUGGCAGAAUCAAAAUGGUUUUUCGCUUACGGGUUCGCUCAUUGUUCGCUUAAGCGAACGGGCAAAAUCGCAUUCUGGGCAGCUUGCUUGAAUGCUCGCUUAAACGACGGGUCGUUCGCUUAAGCGACCAUUCAUCUGGGCAGUGCAAAAACCUACAGGUUCAAACCUCUUCUCACUCCAAAAACCCAAUUUUAAUCCCCUGAUCACCCAAAACGUUUUCCAGCAGAUGUUUACAGGUCCUAUACACAACUAUGCAUCUAAAGGAACACAAAACAGGCAUCAACAACAACAAUUCAGAUCAUUCCAACAAUCAUACAAAACUUCUCCAAUUUAUCCAACCGAUUCUAAUUUCAUUCAAAUUCUGAUCACAUCAGCAUUAUAGAUUAGGAAUUCAUUCUGAACAUCAAAAUACAACACAUUAAACACGAUCCUCACACCAUUCCUUUCAAAACCAGCCCAACCCUAAUUUCCCAAUUUUUAUCUCAAGAACAAUUCAUGUUAAACAAUUUUCAGAAUUUACAUACUAUUAUUAUUGAGAGAUAGUCUCACCCUUACCUUAGAUUUGUAGAAAGAUUGCACAACAAAAUCGGUUUCUAGGCUCUUCUCUCUUGUUCUUGCUUUUCCUCUCCAAAACUUGUUUUACGUGAAACGUUUUCUGACUUCUCUUUUCUUAACUCCCCCUUUAUUUCAUUAAAAUCCCUUAAUUUUUAUUAAAUCCUAAUUAACUCCCCACAUUUCAAAAUAACUUUAUUUCUCAUAUUAUUCUAAUUAUAUUGAAAUAAAUCAUAUAAUAAAAUAAUACACAUCACAUAAAUCACAAAUAUUAUUUAAAAUCACAUAAAAGACUCUAAAAUAAAUAAAAUAACGACUAGGACGUUACAGUUUUUGCUUGUUUUGGUGUUGGUCGGUGCGGCUUGUUUAGCACUUUGUUAUUGUAAAUACUUUUGGAUGGUUUCUCCUUUGCACGCCUUGUGCGGAGUAAACCAUAGUUAUUAAUAUAUUCCAUUUUUGUUUGUUCGAAAAAAAAAAUCUUCACUAAUUUACACCCACUUUCAUUCCAAAUAUUGUCACAUGUGAAGGGGAAAAAAUACAAUACAUUGUCAAAAAGAAGAACUAAAUUGUCAAAAAUAAAAUAUAUACAUUGCAAAAAAAAAAAAAACACAAUUAUUAGUUGUCUUUUUUUUUACCAAUUAUUACUUUUAACGUAAAAAAAAAUUAAACGAUAAUUGUGUUUUAAGAAAUUGUAAUGAAAGGAUAAUUUUUAUAUAAUUAUUACUCUAAUGAAAAAAUGAUUACUCUUUUUAUUUUUUUGAGGGAAAAAAAAAUUAUUACUCUUGAAAUUAUAUAAUUAUUACUGUAAUGAAAAAAUAUAUAAUUAUUACUUUAACGUAAAAAAAUACACAAUGACUUUUAACGUCAACAAAAGAAAAAUUGUAAUGAAUUUCAAGAAAAAAAAGUAAAAUUAUUGUGAGUUCAUGUAAAUUGUUUGUUUAAGCUUGAAUAUUGUUUAGAAAAAUUUAAGGAAACAUGUUUCUCAUGUUUUGUCUAAGAAUGAAAUUUACAAAUUUAUCCUUUGUUUAAAACAUACUUUUAAUGGAAAUUAUUGGUCUUUUGGUAAAAAAAUUAGUGGGUGUAGGUUGCUAACUUGCACCUUAGUGUUUUUAGGUGGGUGUAAGUUAGCUGCUGCCAUAUAUAUAUAUAUAUAUAUAUAUAUAUAUAUAUAUAUAUAUAUAUAUGAAAAUAAUGUAUUACUUUACAAAUGAGUCAUGAAUCAUUUUUAUUGGUUAGUGAAAAGCAAAUGAGUCACAAUUCAUUUUGUGAUUGGCUAAAAUAUUUAAGUGAGUCAUAAUGGAAGCAAAUGAAAAUAAUUAAAAACAAUUUUUUUAUAUAUAGAAAAAAAUAUGUAUUGAUUUACAAUUGAGUUAUGAUUCAUUUUGAUUGGCUAAUGAAAAAUAAAUGAGUCAUGAUCUAUUUUUUGAUUGGUUAAAAUAUAUAAGUGAGUCAUAAUCUAUUUUAAUUGGAUGAUAAAAAAACAUUAAAUGAGAAGGACAAUGUGAAAAUACAUGUGUACUUAGUUUUAAUUAUAAAAAUGAAUUGAUUUUUGUCACAACCAAACAUACACUAAGAUGUCACUCGCAAAGGAUCUUUGAUUUACACCCAGCAUCCAUUCCAUACCUACGAUCAUCAUCAUCAUCAUCACGUGUUUCAGGCUUUUUUGAAUUCUCUUAGGUUAGAUCCAUUUUCUGGGUUUCAUUUUGAAUGAUUUAAGAUCUUCUUAAUUCUACAUCUAUCAUCAUCAUCAUCAUUCACAUCUAGGAUUUUUGGUUUACCCAUCAUCUGAUUUAGGAUAUUCUGAAUUCUACAAUCAAUAUCAUCAUCAUCAUCAAUAUUCACUUCUAGGAUCUUUGAUUUACCCAUCAUUCAUUCAAACUUUAUGAUUUUUUUUUUUUUUUUUUUUAGUUGUAAUAUUAUAGUGUUUGCUUUUCUUUCUUUUAAUCACUUAUUUAUUCUUGAAACAGAAAUGAAAAGGUCCAAAGAUAAUGAUGUUGCUGACAUUGAUUCACAACCCAAACGCCCCACCCUAUCUACCACACAAGAAUCGUAAGUUUUUAUUUUUUAUUUUAUUUUUCAUUAUUACUUUUUGCAAUGUGAUUUAGUUUUAUAUUAAUUCUGGUUAAUGUUUAGUUAUAUUUUAGUCUCUUUGUAGUGUUUAACUUUGUGAAGCAAGAUCAUAUUCAUUUGUUUCUUUCUUGCAUGAUUUUUAACUCUUAACUUUGGUAGUUAUUUAUUUUCAUUAUUAUGAAACCCUAAUUAUAUUUUAGUCUCUUGUAGUGUUUAACUUUGUGUAUUUAUUUUCAUUAUUAUGAAACCCUAAUUAUAUAAAAUCUUCAAUAUUAACCAAACAGUAAGCUCAGAGUGCAACCUAGGGAGGUGAAUUAGGUUUUUGGACAUUUUAGGUUUUUUUUAUGGCAGGGUUAUUUUUGUGAGUUUAAGGUUCUUAUUAUUUUUCUAGAAAAUUGUGUUGAAGAUAUGAAAGAAUGCGAAAAAUAAAGAGCGUAGGGAAGAGAAAAAUGGACACAAGAAAUUAUAAUGGUUCCCUUUUAAACUAAGGGCACAUCCACUCCCUCCACACCCCGUUGAGGAAUUCCACUGUGAUAGAAUCUUUUUUACAAGCAACCUUACCCCAAGGCUCUCUAACAAUAUUUCUAUAGCACCCUAUUAUCUUUACAACAAGAAUCUUCACCAGACUCUAUGUUGAAAUUCUCACAAACAAGGAAGAUAGCACCCCCACUAUUUUUAACAAGAAUCCUUAAGAAACAAUGACGAAAAUAUUACAAAUGAAUAAUGAAGAAUAAUUGUAAGGUUGUUAUCAAAUUAAUAUCACUCUCAAAUGAAUAUACCUUGAUGCUCAGAAACCAUUUUGAAUAUGGAAGUUGAUUGAUGUUUUAUUGAUCUGAAAUAUAUUUAUAGAGGCUUUAGAAAAUGUCCAUGAAGCAAUGCUACCUUUCAAAAAUGGUUUAAAAUGAAAAGACACAAAUUUAAAAUGGUACCCAUUCAUAAAAUUUGAAAUUUUGAAUGUGGUAACUAGUUACCAUAUAAGGGUGUAAUCGAUUACACUACAAUGUUGUAAAAAAUUUGAAAUUUGUAAUACUAGCAAUCAGUUACCAUAUAAUGUGUAACCGGUUACAUAUGCUUAAAAAUGACUUUUCUAGAAGUUUUUAGGCAUUGCUUCAUAUGGGGACUUAGAAAAAUGAUUUGUAAUAAGUUCAAAAGGAUUUCUUGAGCAUUAUAAGUUAUAUAGAUGUGGAAAGUAAUAAUUCAAAUAUAAAGACCAUACUUACAAUGAUUCCCACUAUAUAAUCUAAAAGUCUUCAUCUUCAUCUUAAUUUCCUCUGGUGCCUCCAUAGUGUUUCUUCUUUUCUAAUGGGGUUUUUUAUCAUCAAAACUCAACCAAGUCUAAGAAGGAAAUAUUCUUCACACAAACAAUUGAGCUCAAGUAGUGAAUGAGUUAGACGAAUCUAAGUUCUAUUCUUGGAUGGAACAAUUACUUGAUGAACUCCGGAUUACUAGGGCCCCUUCGAAUAAGAAUCGAAGAGUUAACCACAAAAAAAAGAAAUUUUCACCUCUUUCUUUUUUUUAUAUGUUUAAAAUAAAUAAAACUAAACAUGAUAAAAAAGUAUUUUAACGGUUUUAUCUCCUCUUUCUUUAAACUUACGAUCUACAACGGUUUGGAUCAUAAACCCAUCCAAAACAAUUGGACUAUAAUUCAUUAUCUUCCUUUGUAUUUCUCCUUUUAUUGUCAACUAACGUAUUAAUUCAAAGCAAAAAGUUGUAUUUAGGUGAAUUCUAAUUAGGUUAACAACAAUAAUUGAUUCAAAGCUAAUAAUUGGUACAAUAACAAUUGUGUAAUAUUCCAAGCUAUUUAGUGAUAAAUAAAUGCACAAAAUAGGAUCACAUGAGUAUCAAUUUGUGAUUAAUGUUAUCCAUUGAUUAUAAUUUAAUUAAAGGUUAAACUCUGGAGUAACUUUAAUGAGUUACAUCCUAAUUAUAAAUAGUUUGUUUUACAUAAUGCAAUUGAGAUUUAGUAUUUUCUUUCUCGAUAGAUAUAUUCCAUUUUAGUUGAAUUCAACAUUGAUAAUGGUGUUUGAAUUUCUUGAAAUUGAUAAUCUUUUAAAUGCUUUUUCAUUAGGAAUUUGUUUGUCGAACUGAGUACCGAGAAGGCCAAAGAUUUGCAAGGUGAUCAUGAUCUCAUUGCCAAAAAUCUUGAUCCAGAAUUUAACAAAGGUUUGAUGAGUGCAGAGGUGUCUGAUGGACGAAACAGUGACAUGACCAUUCAUAAGAAAGGUAAUCGCGACCUCAUUGUCGAACAUCCUGAUCCAGAAAUUGACAAAGGUUCGAUGAGUGCAAAUGAGAAGCGUGACGAAAAAAAGGAGUGUCAUACAGGUGAAGGUUACAUGAUCAUUAUAGUGAACUCAUUUACGUUCGAUUUGUUUAUUACUUUAAAAUAUUUCAUUUUCAGUUAUGUCGAGUGAAGCGUUUUCUUACCUGAACAAAGUCACAGAGAGGUUAGGAAUACUCGAGGAUUACCAAAAAUUUGAGAAGUCCCUACAUAGCUACAGAAUGGGAACAAUUACAAGAGAAGAACUACAAAAAAUGGUAAUAUUGUUUAUACAUCCAAAUUUUCAGAAGUUACAUUUUUUGAUUUUCUGUCACAUCCUAUAACUCUUGAAUUGAAUAUGGCUUGCAUUGAACAUUAAACUUUAAUACAAAAAUUAUGUUAAAAAUACUGUAACGGAGAAGAAUUCAUGUUGCAUUCAGGUAGGCGAUUUGUUGGGAAAACACUCCGAUCUUGUGGAGGGAUUUAACGAGUUUUUGACACAAUGCGAAUCCAACGGUAAUGUUACAACCAAUUUUCACAUCAAUAUAAAGUCUAAUUUUUUCUCCCUUUAUUGUUAUUUCUAAUAAAGUGUUGUUAUGCAGAAGGAUUAUUUGGUCAUGUCUUAAAUAAAAGUAAGUUAAUAUGAUUUUAUGUUAUAUUUUUUUUGCGUCGCUUUAUCUUUAGGUAGCAUUGUAUGACAUGCAUAUUUGAACAAACGAAGCAAAUAUACUUCAAAUUGCUAUCUCAUAUAUUGUUCACCUGGGAAUAAAAAAUUAUAAAAAUUAGUCUUUUCUUGAAGUUGUGAACUAUUUGCAACACUUGAAAAGUCAUUAUCUAAAGCAAAAUGCAUUUUUUUUUGCCACUUAUCAUGCCUCUCUAUUGUGAAAUGUUGGCUCUAGGCCAUACAAAAUACAUUUUUUUUGCAUGAUAUGAUUAGAAAUGAAAAUAUUAAAGAAAGAUAAAGAGAGAUUCGGGGUAGAACCUAUCACGGAAAAGAUGGUGGCAACUCGACAUAGGUGGUUUGGAAAUAUAUUGAAAAUACCUGUAGUAAAAUCAAUAGAGGCAGAAGUACCAAGAAAAACUAUACGAGAAAUUAUUAACAAAUAUCUAGAGAUUACCAGGUUGGAUAGAGAAAUGAUAUAUGAUAGAACAUUAUGACAUUGUUUGAUCCAUGUAGCAGACCCCAUUAAGUGGGAUGAGGCUUGCUUGUUCUCGUCGUUUGCAUGUAAAAAUCACAUAUUCAAUUUGUUUUGGUGUUUUAUCAUUUGUUUGAUAGUGAUUUUAACGAUAUUUCCCUUUAUGAUUCAUUUUAUAACUUUAAAAAGUUUUGUUGUCUCAGUUAUGUUCAGAGAAGAGCAUGUCUUCCUUGAAAAAGUCAAAGAGAAAUUUAGCAAUCCUGAAAUUUAUCAGGAUUUUUUGAAGUGCCUACAUAUCUAUGCCAGAGAAUUAAUUACCCGAGGAGAAUUACAACUAUUGGUAUGGUAUAUACUUUUAUGUAUCCAAAUUCAUAGAAGUUGCAUUUCCAAAUUUGUUAUGUUGAAGAAUGCUUAUUUUAUAUUUCCAACAGGUGUAUGAUUUAUUUGGAAAAUAUACCGAUCUUAUGGUCGAAUUUAACGAUUUCAUGGCACAAAGUGAAAAGAAGAAUGCCAAACUUGUUAAAGCUUUGAAGGGUCGUCAAAUACAUGCUUCUGUGUCUCUUAAUCAAUCUUGAUGACUUCUAUUACUUGAUUGUCCAAGCCAUCUUCUCAUUAUACUUUUGUGUUGCUUCCUGCUUGAGAUUAUUAAACAUGUUUUUAACCAUAUACUUAAGGAAGUUAUUCUGUAGUAGUAUGUAUUUAGAAGAUUUCUUUUGUUAUCGAAAAGUUUAUUGUCAUUAAAACCAAUGACUAGGAAGAUUGGUGCCAUAAAAGAGUAUAUUAUGAUGGCAUAAAAGAUUAUAUUUUACAUUUUGCAUGACUAGGAAGAUUGGUGCCAUAAAAGAUUGGUGCCAAAUAAGCGUGUGUGUGGACAUAUUAACCUUUAAACUCGAUUCGUUCCCGCUGGUUAUGCAAACUAAUUAAAUGUAAUAUGGAUAAGCAUGAAUAUCUUUUUGGUUACUUUGGAAACUUUGAAGUGAAUUGAAUGUUCACUUCGGGCUCAUUGAUUAAUGGUAUUACUCUCAUGCACCAGAGAAAAGAAGAAAUGAUUUAAAAAUAAUGUUGACAUAACUCAUAAAUAUGCAAAUUUUCAUAUCCUUUUCUGCCUCUAAAUUGACUCUACUUAUAGAGAAAAUGAUGCAUGAAACUUCAUAAGCAAAACAACUAUUGAAAUAGCGUCUUUCAAAAGAUAAUAUUGCAAAAAAUAAUAUUGGAAAUAGCGUGGCAUUUAGCUUCUUCACAUGGUUCCAUACACGUGUGAGUUUGAAACUUGUGGAUGCCACUUUUUAUCUUAUAUUUACUCCCUCUGUUAUAUAAUAGAUGACUUAUUUGAAAAUGUGUACUUUUGACCUAACAUAUUUUGACCUUCUUUUUCUACUAAUAUACAAAGAUAAAUAAUAUCAUAUAAGAUGUCGUUGGAUUCAUCUCGAUGAAUAUUUUCAAAAUAUCAAAUUUUUAUAAUUUUUUCUAAAAAAUUUGUAAAGUUAUUUAAUAUCAAAAUUGUGCAUUGAUAUGGGUUACAAGGUCAAAUGUUUCACUUAAUAUGGAACAUAGAGUAAAAACAUUAAGAAGAUAUAAAUUUUCAAAAUAGUAUGAGGCUGAACUCAAACCUAUGAUCGUAAUCUCCCCACCAUUUCAUAAAAUAUAUCAAAAUAUUUUAUUCGGAAAAUACAUUAAAUUUAUACAUUUCCUUUCUUCAAUCACAAAGAAUUCUAGUCCCGUGAGCAUAGUUCAAUUGGUAGGACAAUGCAUUAUUAUAUGCAGGGGUUGGGGUUCGAACCCCGGACAUCCCACUCAUUCACCUUGUAAUGUAAAUUCUAGCCACUAAACUACCUGACAAAAAAAAAAAAAAGAACUCUAGUUCUUCUAGUAUAUGGAAGGCUAUAGUUAAUGCUUAAAAUGAUAAUGUUAGAAAGCAAUUUAUUUUGAAUUCGGAUCAUCUCUAUUUAUCAAAAGAAAUUGAUUGUAACCAUUACUUUAGGUUUUUUAAGGGGAUCCAGUACUAUAGUUUUAGAUAGAAUAAAAGAGUAUAUGAUUGCAUUUCUAAAAUCGCUGAUAUAAUUAAAAGAACAUUUAUACAAAAAAAUUAUAGUAAUAAAAAUGUCAAUAUCUUAGCCAAGAUCUUUGGCUUUUUUUUUUUCUUUCAAGGGAAGUAAUUAGAAGGGUAUAUUUAUACAAGAUUGCUUCUUUUAAAGCUUCUACUUCAAACUCACCAGAUUUUUUCGAUACACUUUUUAUUUGGAGUGUCUCUAUUAAAUCUAAAAAUCUAGGAACGAUUUAAUUUUCUCUCCAAAUUGCAUUGAAAUGUGCUGAUUUAUUGAACGAAGUCAUGAACCAAGUGAUUAUUCGUCAUUAUAACAAUUCUGCUUCCUCUCAAUAUUUAGGACAUAAAUCUAAUACCCAAAAAAAAUAUUACAUACGAAUGAAUGAUUUCAAAAGUGAUCAGGUGGUAUGGCCUGCGCUGCAAUAAUUCUAGACAAUGUUUCAUUCUAACAAUGUGUAUGCUUCAAUGUCUAUGCAAUCUUUGCCCUUUUCUCCUUUUAUCCUUGAUAUUUUUUUUUCAAGAACAUCAAUGUAAUCAUCAUCAACACUUUGACAAAUAAUAGUCCAGUAAUAAUAUUGGUGUUGAAAUCCCUUCAUUAUCCAGAAGCUUGAAUUUGUCUUGUAAUAAUAUUGGUGUUGUUCAAUACAUAUAAGGUUAGCAAGAGCAUUGUCAUCCAUAGGAAUAUUGUAACAUCUAAUUUUUUUUAGUCGCAAAACUUAAUAGAUAGGGUUAUAUAUACGGAGUUUGUUAGGAUACACCCACAAAUUUUUAUUAAGGUGUGUUUUGUAACACUCCUAUUUCUAUUAAAACAAUUAAACAUGCGAAUAAUACAUUUAUUCAAGAAAUAGAGGCUACGCCAUCAUACAAAAAUUCAAAACCAUAAAUAUGUAUAUAAACUUCAACAGUCGCAGCGGAAUAUAAACAAGAGUAAUCCAAAUAUACAUGUCAUGAAUCGAUUAAUACAUCAACAUAGAUGAAUCUCAUAAUUCCCAACAUACGGGAAAAUCUCCAAUCAUAACAAAAUCCAAAGUAAAAGAUAAUCUAGACCGACACAACGAAGCCUAGAUCAGAGCCGACUAAACUCUAAACACCGAUAUCGGAGAAAGCUCCCGAUAUCCACCAAGCACAAAAACUCACCGAGCAACUAACCCUGCACAACGUCUACCCAUCCAUACAGACAGGUAGGCGGUCAAAACCACUGGGGUUAAGUAUUACAUCAUCAUAAUCCAAAUAACAGUUAACAUGUAUAUUUCAAUUUAAACAUCAUGCACUUGAUCAAUAAUAAUAUUCUCAUACAUAUACUUACAUCAAACCCCAAUAUCUCACAUAAAUAAUCACCAAUCACAUGUGUCAUGAACAAAUAUCAAUUUCCAAUUAUUCAUACACAAUUAUCAAACACAUAUAUCAAUAAGACUCAUGUCAUGAUAUGCACCUAUCGACACAUAUAUGCAUGUGGUACCAAAUCACCUCAAGGUCGUCACCCAUAUCCAGACCACCAAGGGUCUCUGCAAGGCCGAAGCCCAAAAACUAGAUCACGAAGGAUCUCUGCAAGACCGAAGUCCACAACUAGAUCACAAAUGAUCUCUGUAAGGCCGAAGCCCAAAAACUAGAUCACAAAUGAUCUCUGCUAGGCCGAAGCCCAAUAAUGAAUAAAACAUCAUAUAAAAUCUCAACACGACUAUGAUGCAUGAACAUGUACAAGGACUCAAUAAUGCGACAACAAUCCACAAUUUUCACCUCAAUAUAUAGGACAACUUCCAAUUAUAUUGAUUAUCUCCACAACAUUUGCAUUAUCAAGAAAACAUGCCCAUACACAAAUAAAUCAUAAUAUUCACCAUCACACAUUAACAUAAUUAUCAAUAAUCAACAAGGUCAUUCAACAUCAACUAUCACAUAUAGUUUUACCAUUCAAGCAUUUCUUACAUUCUAAGUAAGAUAGCAUGCACAUUUCAUGAUAAACAUCAUAUCCAAUACAAUCAUUCAUUUAUACAACUUCACUUAGUCAUAUAAGAAUAAUCACAACCAUUCAUAAGGUAAUUGACUCAAGAAAACAUUUUUGACCAAAAACCGUAUCAAGUGGCAAACGACCAACAUUGACAAUCCCAAGACAAAACGACGUAGACAAGUUGAAACUUCUCAAACCACCUUAAUCAAUCAUGUAUUCAUGAACUUGAGUCGUCUCCGGACUAUUAAACAUUAAUCCAAGAAUAACUUCAGUUCAUAUGAAAAACCCAAUUUCACAACCUUUCACAUUCCCACCCGAAAUAUCACUUUUUACAUGAUUAAGAUGUUUGACCACACUUACAAGUUUUACCUAAGUCUAUAUGAGCUGUAGGUUCAACUUAUAAGUCCCAAUGUUUGCAAAAGUUUGUUUCCGACAAAAGUCUAAGUUCCAAAAUUCCCAAGUUAAGACUCAAAUGAAGAAUUUCAAGUUUAGGCAACCUAAUCAUGUUCCAGUAGUUUUAGGGGAUUAAACAGUAGUUAAACAUGUUUAAAGAAUCAUUUUAGAAAGCUCGGAUUGGCCCCCAAAGAAUCGGAACAAAAGAUUAAUGUGGCUGAAACUGGACCUGUUCGCUUAAGCGAACGAGUUACAUUGACAAACCACAUUGCAUGCUUUCUGGUCGCUCACCAGUUCGCUUAAGCGACCACAUGUUCACUUAAGCGAACGAGUUCCAGUAGCAACCAGAAAACUUCGCUUACCAGCACGCUAACUGGUCGCUUAAGCGACCUAACCCAGAAAAUCCAUAUGAAUGCUCGCUUAUAGGUUGCUUAAGCGAACCUCUAAGCGAACGUUCACAGUUUUGCAGUAAAUGUUACGGGUUUGAACCCUUUUUCACCCAAAAUCCCCAAUUUUGACCCCUCAUUGCCCAAAUGUGUUUCCAAAACAUGUUUAUAGGUCAAUAUGACUAAAAAGACUCACAAAAACUCAAUCAAACUUGAAAACAUUUGACAAUUGGACCAAUUCCCCAUUUUCAUCGAAACACCAACAACAUCUCAUUUCUCCAUAACAAAAUCAUGAAUCAUGCAACCCAAGCCAUGAAUUAUCAUCAACAACAUGACUAAACAACAACAACAUCUAUUGAUCAUCAACUAGCAACAAUUCAAUUAUUCAUAACUUCAUACAUCUAAACAUGUCAUCACAAUUGGAGCACGAAUUUGAUCAUUUAUGAACAAUUAAUCAAUUCAUCCAAUUAAGCACUUUUCAUACAAAUAAUUGAAAAUUAUAAUAAUGAUUAUGAUGAAUUCUAACCCCCUUACCUUAGUAGGUUAAUCUCUCUAGCUUAGGCUUCAAUUUUGCUCCUAGCUCUUCUCCCAACCCUUGUUCUUCAAGUCCUUUUCUCUCUACCCUUUUCUCCUCUUGCUCCCACUUUCUCUCUCUAUUCUCUCCAAAAAUAUCUUAUGAAUGAAAGGGUGAGGAAAUUUCUCAUAAGUGUUGGUUUUUAUAUCAAGUCUCCUUAAUGGGUCUAACCCUCCACUUAAUGGACUUAACCCAUUUCUAUUCACAUCUCAAAUGUUUCUACACUCUAACGAUAAUUCAUUAAUAACGGUCAAAUAACGGUAAAAUGUUACUAACGGUCACUAAACGGUAAAAUCUCAAUUUUACUCUAGUAACUUAGUAAAACAACUAUUCUCACUAACCACUAAAGUAAUUCUCACCAAAACUUAUAAUUCUACCCGUUCUCACAAAAUGACCAAAAUACCCAUAAGUCUAAAAUGACUAAAAUAUCCUUCAAACACGGAAACCAUGAAAAUGCAUCCAAUGAUGAAUAAUCACACACAAACACAUAAUAAAAGUAAUUAAAAUAAAUCUAGCUAAAAAUCAGGCUGUUACAUGUUUUUAGUAAAGAUAUAACUAAAAAAUUGUUAAAUACACUUUAAGGUGAAUGUUGCUAAAACACACCUUCUAAAAAAUAAAUGGUUGUAUGUUAGCAACGCCUAUAGACAUUUGCUAGAAUACACCCACUUAUUUUUUAAAAGGUGUGUUUUAACAAGUUAUAACUAAAAAGUAGUUAAAUGCACCUGAAGACGUAGCUUGCUAAAACACUCUCACAUAAAAACUAGUGGGUGUAUAUAUAGGGGUUUGUUAGGACACACCCACUAUUUUUAUGUGGGAGUGUUUUAGCAUAGAUAUAACUAAAAAGUUGUUAAAUACACUUUAAGGUGAAUGUUGCUAAAACACACAUUCUAAAAAAUAAGUGGGUGUAUGUUAACAACUCUUAUAAACAUUUGCUAGAAUACCUGCACAAGGACUAUAUGAAGAAAACAUACUAGACUCUCCUGUCAUAUGAUCGGUAGCCCCUAAAUCAACAAUCCAAGUGCGACUUAGUUUGACACUAAGAAGGGCUGGCUCUAAAGAAUUGCCUUUUUGGGCAAUGGAACCGAAAGAAAACAUAUGAGAAGUUGUUUAAGACUCAAGAAGCUUGUACAGUUGUUCAUCAGUGGACGGAAGUGAGUUUGAGAAAGACCGCUGCCCUUGAUCAGAAGUAUCUUGGAGUGCACGACCUUCGGUUGAUUAGUUGAAAAUUGUCUUACCCAUCACCACCGUCGUCACGCCUUCUCUCUUAGAUUGUCUUACCUAAAUGGUCUUAGAUUUAUUCAUCCUUUUUUAUUUUCACUUUUUGAUCUGAACUGCAAGCUACGAAAUUGAGUUUUUUUUCUUUCUUCUUUCCGAUGAAUAGUGCACGUGAACAGUACCACGUGGAUGAACAUUGCACGCGCGAAUAGUACUCGGUGAACAAUGUUGCUGGAUAUCAAAUCCAGAAGAAAAAAAAAACGAAAGAUGUCGUAGUGAUGGAGGCUAAGGUUUAUGCCGAAGCAAGGCCCCCAAAAUCGAGGGCUCUGAUGCCAUGUUGAAAUUACUUUAUAAUUUAAAGUUGUUAUUUGGCGGAAAUCAAGAGAGAUAAUGAUGUGUAAUUAAGAAAAGGUAUUAACAAAUACACUGUCUUGAAAUUUUCUUGAUAAAUUUUGUCACUGUAUCUAUCAUUUCGCAAUGAAAAAUAAACAACCAUUAAAAUAGAAUAAUAAAAGGAAGGUUUAAUGAUGUAUUUCGUUCUUGCAAUUAGGCGUCAUUUAAAAAUUAGUCCAUGUAAUCGCUAAUCCUGGCAAUUUACCCUUGCAUUGUUUAAUCAUUUAAAAUUUCGUCCUUUGACCAACUUAACCACUGCCAAGUCAUCAAAUUAGCAAAAUGAUAUGGGAAUUGACAAAAAUACUCUCGUCUUUAUUUUGAGAAGAAGAUGAAGACAGGGGUAAAAAUGUCAUUUCACGAAUGGAUGACGAGGGUAUUUUUGUCCAUUCCCAUGUCAUUUUGCUAAUUUGAUGACGUGGCAGUGAUUAAGUUGUUCAAAGGAUGAAAUUUUAAAUGAUUAAACAAUGCAAGGGUAAAUUGCCAGAAUUAGCGAUUACAGAGACUAAUUUUUAAAUGACACCUAAUUGCAAGGACGAAACACAUGAUUAAGCCCAAAAGGAAAUAAUAUAUAUUUCAACAGCUACCCAAAAGCACAGAACCAAACAAAACCAAAGUUUGUCUAUUAAUAUUAUUUGUGUUCAGUUCUUUUCUCACUUUGAAGAAGGCCUUAGCACCAUUAAGAUUUGGAUCAUAUUUCCCAUUUGAGAGUGGUAACUUCUUUUUCCAACAACUAUCACCUAACCUGAAAAUAGCCACAGAACAGAAGCAAUCUUCCAUACACUCUUUCAUACAUUGUUCUUCAGUAAAAGGCUUUUGAAGCACAGAAUCUGACAUAGACCAAUCAACGGCAAUCAAAGUCUCAAACUCAUAGAGAUCAUUUCUGUUUUUACUUAGUUCAUCUUCUCCACAUCCUUGCAUGAAGUCUUGCUCGCAAGUACCAAGUGGAUCAUCGGGAUCAACCAGUGAGUAACUUUUUGGACACUGACAUGUUGGUCUCUUAUCAACUCCCAAAGUGCAGAAGCUAUUAUAGUAUUGUAGCUAUUGUUUGUUUCCAUAAAUUUUCAAGCACUUAUUCAUUAGUCUUUCUAUCAUUUGAAUAAUCUUUUUGUAGACUUGGACCUUGAUCAAGUUUUAUGCCACAGUAUAGUUUUUUUCCAACACGACUUCUUUUAGGUUAAAACCCUAAAUUUUUUGCCACAUCACCUCACUGAGCUACACAACAAAGAUAAAUUGAAGAAUCAGUGAUUAGAGGAGAAAGGAAAUUAGAGAGGAAGCCUUCUGAAUCAAUUUGGUCCAUAUGAUUUUGGUAGUAAAUAGUUUUUUCUAUGUUUGAAUGUUCUAUGUAGACUUUGGGAGAUAACAAACGUAUGACACUCUUUUCUUCCCUUUUUCACAGAAAUUAACCUCUAGAAUAUGCAACUUUGAAUAUACAAUUCUAUUUUUAUAACUUUAAUUAGAAAGGAUAGUAUUGUAAAUUUAACUAAUUUAGCAUAUAUAUAAAAUUUAGAAGUAUAUUUUAUUUUAUUUUUAAAAUAUUCUCUAUCAAUAUUAAGUUAAAUGAACUAAAUUGUACUCCCUCAAUUUUUUAAAGUGUCGUUUUUAAUAGUACACUCAAAUUAAGAAAAUGAAUUUUUGUAUCAUUUUUUUCAAUAAUUAAUACCUUCAUUUUAAUCUACCGAUAAAUUCUUAUUUUCCUCCCAUAACAAGCAAGUUAUACACUCUUCGUCUCUCAAACAAAUUCUUUUUUCUUUUUUUUAUGUACAUUCCAUCUCUCUUCCAUUACAAACAAUUGUCAAUGAUCUCAUUGUUAUACACAAUUUUUUUAAUAAUAGUAAAGCAAAAUCAAAUUUCACAUUAAUCAAAAACUUGUUCUUCACCUUCCUUAAAAAAAUAUUAUUCACCUAAGCAAAACUUAACUUCCCUUCAACUCCUUUAAUCAACAUUUAGACUUCAAGUAUGACUUUAAAUAAUACUAGAUUCACACUUUGUGGCAUUAUUAUAGAAUUUCAAACUCUAGAUCUAGUAUCGUAAGUAACAACAUUUUGUUUCAAAAAACAAACUUUGUUUUAAAAUCAAACUUGAAUUUUCCAAACAUAUAACAUUAAUUAAUUUAGUUGAAAAUUAGUAAGCAAUAGUAAUUAAAAAAUGAUAUAAUUGAUAAAUUAUAGUCUUAAAUAAUCAAAACGACGAUCAAAUAGAAACACAAAAUUUGUACUCAAACUACACUUAGAAGAAGAAAAAAAAAACAGAUUGAGUAUAUAUUUAAACGUAAUAAGAGAGCUAAGUGUGAUAUCAUGAUCUCUCACGAGAGAUAGUGUAAUUAGGGUCAUGGUGUCUAAUUGCAUGCAUUUUUUCAGUGAAGAAUAUUUCAAUCAAGAAGGUAAAAUAUUUAAUUAUAGAUAUAUCUUAAAUUUUGAAGAAACUAUUUCUUGUAGUACUAACUAGUAUUUGUCUCACGCAGAACUUGUUGCAGAUAUAUUGUAUCUCUCUCAUGCUCAUUUUGUCUCUAUUCUGCAACCAUUCUUGGCUUUGAAGCUAACCAAGGUUUCACAAGUUGCCAUUAAAGAAAAAAAAAGUAGGUGAUUGACUUAUUAUGAGAUCAAGAACAAGAGAAGAAUCAAUUUAACUGAAUCUAUUGAAUAAAAUGAUCUAACUUCAAGUUAGUUACAUGAAUCCGUCUUUUGAUUAUUGUUUUGAGUUCUGAAACGGUUAUGGUGUUUGGAUUAUCGAGUGUUACUCGUUCUUGAUCGUCACAACUUCGAAUUUUUAUCAUCAUGAAUUUUGUUUUGGGAUUUGUUUAUAGAAGAAUUGAGAUGUGAGUAAGAGGAGGAGAAGUCACUUUAAGGAUACAUGGGAGGGUUGAGCAUUUUGUUAGUUUACGGUUGUUGAUCACCGUUAGUUGUUUGGUUUUGGAUUCGUUAUCGUGUUGGCGGUUGAGUUCACCGCCAUCAUCGAAAAGUUUGAGUUUUAUGGGUAGAUAGAAAAUUCGAGAGGGUCUGUCAAGAAACUGUUGUUGUGUCGGGUUAGUGUUCUCAUUAUUAGACUCUCUGAUGCUUGUUGCUGAUGUUGUAGGGAGUUGAUGGUACAUGAUCGGUUCGUGUUGACGAUCAGUUCAUUUGUCAAGUUAUAAACUUAAUUAGUUUGUUUAAAUUGAUUAGGAUUGAAUCCAAUGUGUAGUUUUUAUUGGUUGUAUUACCUAUAGGGGUUGAUUCACUUGGAUCGACUGAGUUUGAUUUUAUGUCCCCCAAUUUUUAUGUAUUUAUUUCCUUUUUUUAAUAAUAUAUUUAAACAUUUGACAAAAUUUAAACUAUUUUAACAAUUUAGUUGGACAUCCUCUAUUCUCUUGUCAUAUGCUCUUAAUUUAUAAUAUAUAUAUACAGGGGUUUGCUAGGAUACAACCAUUAAUUUUUAUGUGGGAGUGUUUUAGCAAAAAUAUAAUUAAAAAGUUGUUAAAUACACCUUAAGGUGAAUGUUGCUAAAACAAACCUUCUAAAAAAAAUAAGUGGGUGUAUGUUAGCAACUCCUACAGACAUUUGCUAGAAUACUCUCACUUAAUUUUUAGAAGGUGUGUUUUAGCAAGUUAUAACUAAAAAGUAGUUAAAUGCACCUUAAGGUGUAGCUUGCUAAAACACUCCCACAUAAAAACUAAUGGGUGUGUUAUAGCAAAUCCCAUAUGGGUUUGCUAACUUAGACCAACAAAAAACAUGAAAGUGCAAGUUAGCAAAAGUGCACCUUUUCAUUUGGACAAAAAUAUCAUUAAUCUUUAUUAUUUAAAACUAAUAGUGUGAUGGUUAUUUUAGUAAUUUUCAUUAAAACAUAUUUGUUAACUUGCAUCAAUUUGCUAACUUAGAUCCACUUUUAUUUUAUUACAAAUAGCUUGAGGGUUACUUUAGUAACUUUUAUUAAAAACAUUUAUUAACUUGCACCAAUUUACUAACUUAGACUCACUUUUAUUUUAUAACAAAUAGUUUGAAGGAUAUUUACUAAAUUAUCCCAUACUUUAAAUUGGUUUACACUAGUGAAUAUUGAUUUUUUUUGUCCAAAUAAAAAUGUGUACUUUUGUUAACUUGAACCUUCAUGCUUUUUGUUGGUCUAAAUUAGCAAACCUUAUAUAUAUAUAUAUAUAUAUAUAUAUAUAUAUAUAUAUAGGGAUAAGAUCAAAUGACACCAAGGUGUCAAAUUAAAUUUGACACCAAAUCAUAACCAUUAAUCAAACUUUAAUCCGACGUCUCUCAUCAAUUCAUUAAAUAUUCAAAUACUUGAUCAUAUGAUGCAAAUUUUAAUUUUAGAAAUAAAAUAUUCUUUCUUCUCUUGGUUAAUUAUUUACCAAAUUAUAUGAUAGUAUUAUUAUGGUUUCUUUACACUAUUCACGGCCAUCCUUUUUUUAAGAGCUUAUCAUCCUUAUUUCUUUAUUCAUAUUGACCUUUUUUAUUUUUAUUUUUCUUACAAGAAACCAAAGAAAAUUGAUUUAUAAAGAGUACCUGGGAUAAUGAAUGAACGAUUGGUUCCAAAAUUAAAAAGAGCAUACGCUAAUAAACGAAAGUAAAACACAAAUGCUAAAACACCCGACACAAUAAUAUUAGCAGCAUUUUGUCAACAACAAAAAUUAGUACCAUGAACUCAAGAAUAAUACCAUACAACAAAUGAAAGCGUAGCCAAUAUAAACAUGAUACAAAGAUAAGUUCCCUCAAAAAAAAAUUGAUACAAAGAUAAGCAAAAAAAAAUUAGUAAUUAGACUCUCUAAAAAAUAGUAGGAGAAAUCAAAUGACAAUCAUCUAUCUAUUGAUGCAAAAUAUAACAAAAAUGGAAACUAAUCAACCAAGAAAAGAAAUAAUAAAUUAUUUCUAAAAUUAAAAUUUGGAUCAUUUCAUCAAACAUGUGAGCAUUUAAUGAAUUGAUGAGAGACGUUGGAUUAAUGGUUACGAUUUGAUGUCAAAUUUAAUUUGACACCUUAGUGUCAUAUGGUCCUAUAUAUACACAUCUUGUAGUAAUAAUGUCAAUCAAGGAUGCUAUAGGUGACCAAUUCCCAUGUUUAAUUGACAUUAGUAUUAUAAUAAUGAUAUUCACUAUUAAAAUUUGGCAGCAACGAGGAUUUACAUAUUGGAUAUAUAUGAGUGUCGAUAUCCAGCAAAAUGUAAGAGAAGAAAUUACUAUUCUCCUUUGUUCUUCAAUAAUUAUGGACAUUGUUCGUGAGGCUCCAACACGUUGGCCUCAAGUGCACGAGUUCAUACAUGUUGACCUCAAGGCCACGGAAAAUUUUUCUUUUAGGCAGUGGUUUUGUCCACGGCACAACAUAACUCUCUUCGAUCUUUCCUAACUAUCUCAAUUCUAUUUUACUCUUAAUAUUUCCAACGAUUUGAAAUCAAAUUUUAUUUAUUUAGUUGUAUUCAGAAAUAUUAACAUUGUGAUUUUUCUUCGUAUUUGGUUGAUUCGAAUUACAUGAAAAUGAUCACUCAAUACCUUUAUCAAGUGGAUGGUAAAGAACGUCGUCGGGUAAGAGUUCAAAUGAAUCGUCAUCUAAUUUGAGGUAAAAAGAUGAGCUUAAAGUCCAAGUAAGUGUUUUAAACUCAAGGACAUGUAUGUAGAUAUAUUUUUGAAUCUACAGAUACAAGAAUUUUAAUGUCCAUGAUUGCCAAAAAUUAUAUAAAUAUGUUUGGCUUGGUGGUGAUAAAUUGCAAGAAUAUAUAAAUUGAAAUUUCUAUGUGGUGAUAGCUUGACUAUAAUUUGAGAUGUGUCUAUAAGUUUGAUACCUUGAAUUCUUGAUAAUGAAUCAUAGGUUUGAGACCUUCGGGCUAAGCUUUUUGGUGUUAUGGUUAUAUAUAUACAUCUAUGAAAAAAACCUUUGUGGAAUUUAUAUAAUAAGUGGAGGCAGAAAUUUUAUAACUAUAUGUUAGGAAAAUUCUCUUAGAAAUUAUGGAGUUUUUUUAUCGAUAUUGCGUUGCCAAAAUAUGACUACUUUUCAGUUGCUUCAGUUCUAAAGGUAAGCACUUUUAUGGUUUAUUUAAUUUUUUAGACUAUAUGAUGAUAGCAAAAAAAAAAUAAAUUAAUUAAUUUAUGUGUGUGAUUAUGGAUAAGUUGUUGUAACAAAAAACACAGCUAAAAAAUGACAGAACCCCCUAAAAACACCUACAUGACAAGCUAAAAAAAUGCUGCUAUAACAACUUAGCCAAAUAAAAGCAUCACAGUUCACACAAACACACCAACAGGCCCAAAAAUACUACAUAGUGGUUAUAACAAUUAUGCUAUAUUGCUAUAUCAAACAAUCAGCAAAGUUUCUAAUUUAUUCACACAUUCAUGAAAGUAUUUAACUUGUUUUAGACUAUUUACCAAAAUUUGAGCCUCUUGAAGUAAUAAUCCUAAGAAAUCCUUACAUUCUCGUUAUUCAAGUUAUUACAUUGGACUUGAUCAACUUAUACAACAGUAGAAUCAAAAUUCUGAAAUUAACAAUUCUCUUUGGACAAACAAAGAGAAUAAUUAACAAUUCUAAAUUAGGAUUUGGAAAAUCAAAAUUAGGGAUAAUCAACAAUUAUAAAUUGCAGUUUUGAAUUUAAAUAAUCAACUCAUUGAUUCACCCAUUAACAAGCAUCAACAUUCAGGAACAAAAUUGAAGUAUAGAACAAAUAACAAAGAAAAAACAUGGAACAAACCUGGGGGAAGUGAAGAGGAGAAGGAAGGCUAAAAUAUGGUUUUAGUCCCUGCAAAUAUGUCUCGUUUUGGUUUUAGUUCCUGUAAAAAAAAUAUUGAUUUUGGUCCCUGCAAAUUUUUUUGUUUUGAAAAUAGUCCCUGACCCCACUUUUAUGAUGAUUUGCAUACGUGACACAUUAUAACUGAACCAAUUUUGUAGUUUUUGGUCCCUGAAAAAUAUUUUGUUUUUAAAAAAGGUCCCUGCAAAAUUUUUUGUUUUUGAAAAUAGUCCCUGAAUUUUGCAGGGACCAAAAACAAUAUUUUUUUUUAGAGGGACUAAAACCAAAACGAGGCAUAUUUGCAGGAACUAAAACCAUAUUUUAGCCAAGAAGGAAUGAAAAUGGAGACUAAGAGUUGAGAGAGGAAGAGGCGCAAAUUGAGAGAGGAAGAGGCGCAAAUGAUAUGAAACUGAAACAGAGAUUGAGUCACUGAGAGAGGGAGAGUCACUAUAAGUUAGAGAAGGAGAAGACUGAAAAAUAGACAUUUUUACACGCCUGAACAUUUGCCUCAAUUUUGCCCGGUUUUUUUUUUUUUAAGUAAAGAAUAUGGCUAUUGGGUUGGGCUUCCAACAUUGAAAGCAGAAGCAGAGCCUGGGCACUAGCCCAGGCUAGCUGGGGGGUGUAAUCGCCCAUGUUCAUGGCUAGUGCACGUGGGCCAGCAGAGUGGGUGGGAUGCAGGCAGAAUGGCCUGAAAAGAGGUCAAAAUUGAUUUUGCUGAAGAAGGAUAUCAAGGAAAGGAGGUUUAGGUAGUAUAGAAUAAGUUGCGUAAUGUUAUACCUAAGGAAGUGUCAGUAAAAUAAUCAUGUAUUUGAGGAAAAUAAUGUAACGGUGGGACCUGGUCAUUAGGCUUGUUGGGAACAAUGAGUCUUGUAUGUUGGAAAUGCUGAGGCUUGGGAAACCUGAGUGUGGUUCCUAUUAUCCUAUACUAAAAUUCAUAGUCCGGUAUUAUAAGUUGGAUGUUCUAUUUUUAAGUGGGUUCCUUGUCCACAUUAAUAAAAUAGAAGAAUUUUGCUACUUGUUGGAUUUUGAUUUUGCUUUGCAUCUGAAAGAGUUAGUAGAGGAGGAGGUAUCACCUUAAUUUGGCAUAAAACACUCAACUUUAGUAUUGUUAAUUAUUCUUCUAAUCAUAUCAGUGCUAAAAGUGAAGAAGGAAGUCGAGGUGUUUGGAUAUUCACAAUUUUUUAUGGGUAUAUAUCUAGAAGUUAGAAGAAGAAGAUAUUCAUGGAACUUUAUUCACAUUAUUACUAGACAUGUUAAUUUGUUGUGGUGUUUGAUGGGAGAUUUCAAUGAUAUUUUACAUGAUGAGGAGAAAAAAGGAAGAGCCAUCUGACCCAUUUGGCUUAUCAGGGUAUUCAGACAAUUUGUCCAAGGCGUAGGCCUCGUUGAUGUUCUUAUGGAGGAUUAUUCGUAAACUUGGUUCAAAAGUUUGGGUAUUUCGUGUGCUGUUGAAAAGAAGCUAGAUAGGGCCUUAGUAAACAACAAUUGGAUGCAGAUGUUUCCUAAUGCUAAAUUUGAAAAUCUUGUUGCACCGUCCUUUGAUGAUUUUCCAAUUUUGUUGGAUAGAACAUCGUUUGAACGACCACGUAGAAAUAUAAGAUCCUUCAAGUUUUAGAAUUUUUGGAGAAUUGAAGAUGGCUUGAAUGAGGUGGUUCAAAAUAGUUGGCUAGCGAGUGCGGGUAAUAAUGUUACGAAAUCAGCAUGUGCGUAAUAAUUGAUGCAUUGGAGCAAUACUCAUUGUAACAAACUUCAGAUUGACAUUGAAUAAUUUAGAAAUCAGUUGGGUCGGGAUGAAGUCCAGUUUGAGAUUUUGAGGAAAAUGCUCAAUUAUCUUUUUGUCCAGUGUACAGGAGGCAUAGAGCAAAGACUGAUUGGUUUCGGGAUGGAGAAGCUUGGAGAUUGUACCAUGCAAUUUGGUGGAUCCAUGAACAUAACUCAUAAAUGUUGGUUUUGAAGUUGAUUCGAAAAUAGUAGCUCAUUAUUUUAACAAAGGUAGGGGAGAUGUCAGAGAGUUUGGUUCCAUUAUGGAUAGUAGUAUCCAAUUAUGUAAUUCCUAUUUAAUAAACUCUCAUAUUGAGUUUAUUAGGAGGCAAGAAAAUGAGGUAAGCUACUUGAAUUAGACUUAAGCUCGACUAGCUUAUAUAAGCUUGUUUUGAUAGAAUGUGAUGUGUUUGGUAAAAAGUUUUUCUCACUAGCUUAUAGUAUUUUUUAAAAAGCUAAUUCAAAUAGCUUUUUAGCUUAUAGCUUGUAGCUUUUUAUACUUUCUUCCAAUUUUAACCUUUUCUUAAUUUUUUUUUUUAUAUAAUAAUAAUAACUACCCAUGUUCUCAUGGGCAACCCACUUUUACCAUGUUGUCACAUUUAACCUUUUUUUUGUAUUUUUUGACGUUGCUCAUAAUUUAUAUGAUAUAUAAUUUUUAAAAAAUUUAAAAUAAAUAAUGAAGAAAGUUUAGUUAGAUUAAAUUCAUAAAAAUUGUUAAAUAAAAAAAGUCGAUUGAAUUCAUAAAUACAUUUAUUAUUUUGGAGAUGAAAGUAAUUUGAAAUAUAUUUAAAUAUUUAAAAGUAAAUGCGUUAAGUAAUAAAAAUUCUAUAUAUGAUAUUAAAAAAAUUAAACAAAUAUAUCAUUUUAUGUCAUUUUAUAUUUAUCAGCUACUUUAACAACUAAUUUUACCAAACACUUUUAAUUUUAAUAAGCUAACUUUCUAGCUAUAAGCUAUCAGCCAUAAACCACCGGCUAUAAGCUAGCUUUUCAGCUAUCAGCUAGCUUAUAGCUUAUUUUUAUCAAACACACCUUAGUAGAAUUUUUACAUAUAUAGAUAGAUAGAUAGAUAAAAGAUAUAUGCUUGCAUUUCUAAAUUGCUGAUAUAAUUAAUUAAAUGAGAGGAUUUCUAAUCUGGUACUUUAGUAGAGGUCGUUGUUAUUGAAUAUAUUUUUCACAUGAUUGGUUCUUUUAAAGCCCCUACUUCAAACUCACCAGAUUUCCACGAUUGGCAUUUAUGCUGUGAUGGUGACUUUUCUAUCAAGACAGCCUUUGAAGUUGAUUGAUGGAACUACUUUGAAUCAGAAUCCAAUUUAUGUUUGUACAGAUUUGGAAUUGGCCUAGUCCGAAUAGGUUCAAUGCUUAGGAAGAUUAUUUGUUCAUGAUUGUUUAUUGACUAAUGAGUAAUUCGAUGCAUUUGUGGCAUGUCAUAGACAAAUUUAUGUCCUAGAUAUCAAAAUUAUAUAAAAUCCAUAUGGAUGUUAUGCUAUAUAUUUUUUAUCCAUAGCCCUUCUCUCCACUUGAAAUAAUCAUAUUUAAGGUGUAUCAGACACUAAAUAUAUGUAUCUCUCUAUCUGGAUUCAGAAUCUUAAUUCGCUACUUUAGAGUUUAACCUCUUCCACUAAACUCAACCUUAAUGAGAGACUCUAAUUUUAUCAAAAGAUUUAUUAGAAUAUGUUGUUGGUGCACACAAUCAUAGCACUUUCUAGUUUGCAUAACUAGAUGGAUUUAAUUUUAAAUCUGUCCUCAGAAAAGUUGGUAGAGAAAAAAUGAAUUGGCAAGUUUUCAUAGACCUUUUCUUUCAAGUGUCUCUUUAUGAAAUCUAAAAAUCAACAAUUUUGUUUUCUCCCAAAUUGCAUUCAAGGCUAGUGUGAGUGUAAUGACUAACUAGUUGUAAUAACUUCAAUUAGUUUAUUAUUCAUUUUCUUAAAAACAAUAUCAAAUGUAAAAUUUGAUUCAAACUAUCUUUCUUUUGACCGAAUCCAAGUUAAUAAACUAUAAACAUUUUCUUUCUCACCACUUUACGCAGAAUCUAUUUUCAAAGCGUGAUACCUACAUGUAUAUUUAACCCAAUAAAAAAAGAUUUUAAAAGAGUGUUAGAGAGUGUCCAUAAAACUCACUUUUGAUUUAUUCAAUUUUAAUUGAUUUCAUCUUCCAAUUUUUUAGGAUCACUCUUGUGUUCAAUUGGAUUAGGAUGACGACACUCCUACGUAAUGGUUUGUUACAGAAUAAUCAAUUAAUUUCUACAAGAAAAAUGAUCAAGCAUCACAUCACAAACUGGAUUGGUAUUAUAAAUAAAGAACCAUACACAGGUAUGAAUACAAAACUAUCCUUUAUACCAUUUCAAUACUUGAAACCAACAUGUGAAAAUUACUCACAAAAAUGGGAAUAGUAUAUUGCACACCAUUAAAUACGUGUACUAUGUGAUAAACUAUGACGCAAAUUUAUCAAGUUUUUUUAUUUUUUGAUACAUAUCAAAAGAAUAAAAAAGAGCUUCAAUUAUUAAAUGAAACAAAGAAUAUUAUCCAUAUCCCCACAUACCCUUAGAAGAGUUGAGGGAUCAAGUACCAGUGUCAAAUUAAUGCAAUAAAGCUUCUUUCUCAUCUUUCUAUAAACUAAAGGCAGUGAUUAAUUUAAGGAGCCGCACUCUUUGAUAGAACAACUAAAGCAUACAAAUAAAUCAACAUGACAUAUAAUAUUUCAAGGGCCAAUUGAAAUAAAAUAAAAUAAAACUUGAGGAGUUAACAAUCUUCAAUAUUUUCUAAAUAACCUGAAAGAAACAUAUUGGUUGACAAUUUCCAAAAGACAUCAUAAUACAUAUUUGAAUUGACGGUGAGUUUGCCAGAAUCAUAGUGUGUCACCGUGAUUUUAGAUGAAGCUGCAAUGUCGAGCUUCAACAAAAUCACGGUGCGGUUAUAAUCUUGUCAAACUCGUCGUAAUUCCAAACAUGCACAUAGUUAGCUUAAUAAGCUACGCUGGCCAUUACAUUCAAAGGGGUCGACACCAAUUAACAUAAUAGAACAUAAAGCUAGCAGCAUGCUUCUUUUACCCUCAAGUUGCCCAUGAACAAAUGGCUUCACAAGAAGUCGUUGCAUCUAUACUUAGAAAAUAAGAAACGAUGAAAAAGCAAGGUGUGAGAAGUUCAUCAACUCUGUGCCUUUCCUGUUGGUUUUGGUGAAUUUUGAGGAUACUGAUGAUGAAACGGAGAAGCAUGAGUACCAUGUGAUAUGGAAAGACUUCUUUGUUGUUGUCCAUUGCGCGUGAAUGCCCCUUGUGUUCUACCGUUUCGAGUAUUUGGACUUGCACUAAAACGGUCAGCUUGCAUUGUCUGGAAAUAGUAUGAUGAACUAGCCAUGUCCUUAAGGUUUGGGAGAGGCUUCAAAGCUUCUACAACUUCACUCAUUAGUGGUCUAGCUUUUGGAUCUCGGCUAAGGCAGUGGGCAGCCAGAUGGGCGGCUUUUUGAGCUCCUUUUAUCGAGAAGUGGCCUUCCAGCCGAGGGUCUAUUAACCUGUAGAACCUUCUUCUCUCUCCUAGAUGCGGUCUAGCCCAUUCCACGAGGUUAUGUUCGCCAUUCGGUCGGUUUUUGUCCAUGGAUCUUCGCCCGGUUAUCAUCUCAAGUAGUACCACUCCGAAACUAUACACAUCACUUCUUGAUGUAAGAUGCCCUACAACCAAUACACGAAGAUUAGAUGAUACAGAUUUUGAUUAUAUUUAAAAGGUCUUGGAACAAAUCUAAGUGAAAAUCAACAGAGUAUAUCAUAUAACAGCAAGUCUCUCAUAAAGAGGAAGUUAUAAACAUUAUGAGAAUGCAAAACAUGGGCAACUCAUGUGUGAAUUCGGAUCUUAAUCUUAAGUAUUCCUUACGAGAGAACAAGUGACAUGACCCAAUAAAGGUCAAGAGCGUCCCAUGUAGAUAGCUCAGUUGGUGAGAAAAGGGACGCCAAAGGAGUUUUUUUGGUGGUGGCCGAGGUUUGAACCUCGGACCUUGCAUAUUUUAUGCCUUGUCCAUACCAACUGAGCUAUGCUCACGAGGACGCCGAAGGAGUUUAAAAUCAAACUCUGGAAACUUGAAUCAACCACUAAAUUGAUAAAAUGUGUCUAUUUGGAAGAAAGAAAGAAAACAAGGUCAAGAACAUUGUACCAAGAAGACAAACAGACGGCACUGAAUCAUUUACAAAAUAUUUUGGUUCAGGACACAGGUUCAGUGAUAAAAAAAGACCAAAUACAACUAAAAGUUAGGUUCUGGAUUUCGACUUUGGCAUAACAAACAAAAUUUACCUGUCAUGACAUAUUCUGGAGCUGCAUAACCAUAAGUUCCCAUAACUCGAGUAGACACAUGGGUUUUAUCACCCUCUGGACCAUCCUUUGCAAGUCCAAAGUCUGAGAGCUUGGCAUUGUACUCCUGAAUCAUUACAUUAUUAGAAAUACUCAAAUAAAGGAAAGAAUGAAAUGCAAUCAUGUCAUAAUACUUGGCACUUACUGCAUCUAAUAAUAUAUUGGAAGUUUUGAAAUCCCUAUAUAUUACAGGUCGUUCGGCUUCCUCGUGAAGAAAAGCAAGUCCCUUUGCAGCUCCGAGCGCAAUUUUCAUCCUAAUGGACCAUGGAAGAGGCAAGGAUCCUACAGAAAUAUAGUUUUGUACACAAGAACAUUAAAAACGGAUAUAAUCCAAAUAGGGAGUACACAAAGCAGAAUUCGUAGGAAAAUAGUAACAGCAGCAGGGUCCUCUAUCUCAUAUUAGCAGAAUAAUGUAAGAAAAUAGUAACAAAGCUUACUCCUAAACAAGUGGUUUUCCAAGCUUCCCCGAGGCAUAAAUUCAUAUACUAGCAACCUUUGAUCAUCUUCGAUACAGUAGCCUAUAAGUUUGACAAGGUUUUGAUGAACUAAAUCACCAAGAUAAUUAACUUCAGCCUGAAACAUGAACCAAACAAAAUAUUAAAACCUCAAAAAAGAAAAAAAAAGAAAAAAGGACACAUCUUUAAGAAAAUACAGCAUAAAAAAUGAAAUUAAAGGAAGACAAAUCUUAUUAGAAAAAUUACAUACCAGCCAUUCUUUAUGACCCUGGAGGCCAUCAUGGUUAAGGGUUUUGACUGCAACAGUAAGUCCUGUGCCAGGUUUCACUGGUGCAGUUCCAUUUUCUUCAAUCCAUCCUUUGAACACACAACCAAAUCCACCUUCACCGAGAAGACUCUCGGGCCGAAAAUUUCUUGUUGCCAACUUAAGAUCAUUGAAAGAGAAUUUCCGCAGCCUGGAAGCAACUUUAAUUUCGUCUUCAACUUUUGAAGUAGAUGAGUUGCUUUCAGCAUUACUAGUGGUAGUGGUUGUUGAAGAGACAACUGGAACCGAUGGUUGGUCUCUACUUGUAUCAAUGGUGGAUUUGCUUUCAGCUAUUGAAAAGACAACCCAGCAAAUAGAGGAAAAACACAAUAAUUAGAACAAGCAAUAACAUAGCAUCAUCUAUCAUACUAACUACUACUAAGACAACAGGAGAAAUAGGCUACAAAGCACUGUCAUAGACACCAGACACGACACCAACAUGUAUACACAUGUACUUAUUUAAGAAAAUGAAAGCAGUUGAAUGUGACUACAUUGGUGUCGUGUCGGUGUUAGACAUCGACACUUGUCAAACACUUGACACACAAUCGUCUGAAGUGUCAGUGCUAUAUAGGAAAUAGGUACCAUUUCAAUUCUCAUUUGAUAAAUUAAGAAAAGGAAAUGGAACCAACUAAGAAAACCAAGUUCUUUCUGUCAUACAUGAAAAACACAUACAUCGAUAUACGGUGACAUACUAACAGUUUGGAAAUCACGAAAUACAAUAGUUCAAUUUAAGAACUCAUCCCUAACUCAAAGAAAUGAAUGAACUCCUCGCCAACGCCGCUCUGGCGAAGGGGAAGAUUAAAAAAUGGACCAUGAUUGCCUUUCAAAGUUCUGAAAAUCCUAAUAAAACAUUGCUUAUACUUUAACUUUAACAAGACCUAUGUUUGGAAUAAUUUUUCAUAUAGAAUUCUGAACAAGGACUGUUACAGAAACUCAAAUUAUUUGCUACAAGUUCAGCAAUAAAUCUUUAAUACACACAAAUACAGUAUAAAAAUAAUUUACCAAAAUUACAGAAGAAAACCUUCCAAACACAAAAGAAAAUUAAUACUUCAAAGGAAAAAGAGGUUACCAUAAUUAGUACUGGUGCCACUAACAGAGCUAUCAACCUUGGAUCUUGAAGAAAUGCAGCUUCCAAUAAACCUAAAACUAAGCCAACACCCAGUUUCAGUUUCUUCAUCUUCCAUAACCCCAUCUUGUUUCUUCUUCUUCUUCCACCCUUUUGAUUUACACACAUCCAAAGACUCAAUCACCUUACCAUUAUCACCACCUAAUCCCAUUUUCAUCAAAACCCUAAACAAUCAUCAAAACCAAAACACCCUCAAACCCUACAAUGCCUAACCACCACAAAACACACUGACCCAGAUGAUUAAUUUCCAAAUAAAACCUAAAAAUCAAAACUUUAUCACUCAAUAACGGAUAAAACACAAAAUCCAACAAAACCCAGAAAUUAAAAAUGGCAAAACAGGGAAGGUAGAUCAAAUGAAGCAGAUCAAAAGCCCUAAAAUGUAAUAAAAACAAAAAAUGAAACCCUUUUGAAACCUAGAUUGAAGAGAGUAAUGGGAACAGUUUUGGUAGAAAAGAAGAGAACAAGUUAGCUUAACAGAGAAAGGUAUGGUCGGAGAGAGACAGAUACAUGAAACUCGGAGAUGGGGUUUGUGUUUAUGUUUGUGUUGUGCAAAGAAAAGCUGACUCAGUACAAUUCCAACACACAUUACUGAAACGGAAACAAAUGAAAAUAAUAUUAAUAUAUGUCCAAUUUCAGAUAAUUCUUUGAUAUCAUCAUCAUAGUAUAUGAUUUUUUUUAAUUUACCUCGUUUUAAAAAUGAGUUUCAUUUUCUUUCAAAAAAAAAAAAAGAGUUUCAUUUUAAAUUCGAAAAAAAAUGAGUUUUUUUUUGUCAGGUAGUUUGGUGGUUAGAAUUCACAUUAUAAGAUGAAUAAGUGGGAUGUUCGGGGUUCGAACCCCGACCCCUGCAUAUAAUAAUGCAUUGUUCUAACAACUGAAUUAUGUUCACUGGACAGUUUCAUUUUAUUAAUUUACUAAAUUUCAAUUUUUUUUAAUUUACAUCCGAAUUUGAUUUCUUCGUGGAACAAUAGUUUGUUGGAAUAUAUUUAUCUCAUGACCGAAUUUUAGAUUAUGAGUGUUUUUUUUUUUUUUUUACAAUUACAUGGUUAACACGAAAAUAAAAUCAUUUAAAGUUUUUUCUUAUUGAUAAAGAAAUGUAUUAAAGUUCUCAAAAAAUAUGUCAUUGUUAUUAAACACUGUUAAUUACUCUUUAUGUCAAAUAAUAAGUGUCAUUUGUAUUUGUUUGUAUCGUUUCUCUUUUAAAACAAGGGUCAUGCUAACAUAUACAAUAUUUUUUUUUAGGCAAAAGAAAAUAUAAUAAAUAAAAUGAAAGAGGUACAUAGACUGGGGGAACAUGAGACCUGACUCAGGAAUAACUCAAACGGAAAUACAAUCGUGAUAAAUCAAUCCAAGUGGAUCAACUCUAAUUUAUCCUAACAAAAGUUCACUAAUCAUAUGCGCAACUCAGCAAACCCGCGUACAAGCAUGAAACCAGAUUACAAAAAGAAUGAAAAAUGAACAUUGCAAGAAUUGUUAAAGUAUAACAAAUGGCGAAUGGGUGAAACAAUAUUUUUGUUAGAUUGUUCACUUUAAAAAAU